UAUUCAGCCUUUUAAAUUUGUAAUCAAAAUGUAGAAAUGAAAUUCAAAUGAAAUUUAUUAAGAGGAAAUAAGUGUACAUAGUAUCGAUGGAAUAAAACUAAACGGCAAUGCGCAUUCUGCUCAAAUCAAAAAUGGCGGUAAAUGUAAAUAUUUGAACUUAGAAGUUUGUUUUGUAGAAUGAGUGCAGCUUUGUGUUGAAAAUUGCUGAAAUUGUUAUCAACUAUUAAGUUAUCUUAAGAUUGCGCGAUGUCGCCGCGUCUGCACACGCGAAGAUGAAGAGUUCCUCUGUGACUCGAAACUAGUAGAACUUUUCUCAGUAUAUUAUGUGGAAAGAACGAAAGAUACGUCAUACAUACCGCCUCAUCGGUGAUAGCGUGUAUAUGUCCGGGGAACUUUGGCAUGUCCCGUCCCUCCACGGAGACGCUCUGGCCGCGGUGGUACCACCGACGCUCGUACAACAGCU